rnacentral:rRNA from 1 species
AUUGAACGCUGGCGGCAUGCUUUACACAUGCAAGUCGAACGGUAACAGGCCGCAAGGUGCUGACGAGUGGCGAACGGGUGAGUAAUGCAUCGGAACGUGCCCAGUCGUGGGGGAUAACGCAGCGAAAGCUGCGCUAAUACCGCAUACGAUCUACGGAUGCAAGCGGGGGACCGAAAGGCCUCGCGCGAUUGGAGCGGCCGAUGUCAGAUUAGGUAGUUGGUGGGGUAAAGGCUCACCAAGCCAACGAUCUGUAGCUGGUCUGAGAGGAAGACCAGCCACACUGGGACUGAGACACGGCCCAGACUCCUACGGGAGGCAGCAGUGGGGAAUUUUGGACAAUGGGCGCAAGCCUGAUCCAGCAAUGCCGCGUGCAGGAAGAAGGCCUUCGGGUUGUAAACUGCUUUUGUACGGAACGAAACGGUCCUGGUUAAUACCUGGGGCUAAUGACGGUACCGUAAGAAUAAGCACCGGCUAACCACGUGCCAGCAGCCGCCGUAAGAC